rnacentral:tRNA from 1 species
UAGCUCAGUUGGUAGAGCAUGGCGCUUGCAAAGCUGAGAUAGUGGGUUUGAUUCCCGC